ensembl:rRNA 5S_rRNA 5S ribosomal RNA
AUCCGCAGCCAUAUCACCCUCCAGCCAAAGACUGGUUGCCCACUGAAGCUAAGCAGGGUUGAGCCUGGUCAGUACCUGGAUGGGAGACCUCCUGGGAAAACUAGGUUGCUGCUGGAA